CAAACACAUGGUUUUGAUAAAUGGAAGACAAGAGAAGAGGAGAAACACAGAAACUCCCUCUUGCCAGUAAGUUUUACAACAGCUCCGUGACUCCCGGCCUCAGGAAUCCAUGGUCUUACACAACAGCAGUGGUCAGGGGUGAGAGGGAGAGUUGUGUAAGAAAUGUCUGGAAAAGAUAGACGUGAGUGGUGUAUCAGGCUAUAUUUUAACUCUGGUGGCCUAUAGUAGAAGGCAGGAUGAUGCCAGCAACCUGUGUUAAAAGUAACAGGAGGUGUUUUUUUUAUUUUCUGAGGAAUGGGGAAGGUGUGGUUUUGAGGAUAUGGGCGGAGCUACAACAUUUUUAUAAGAGUAGUAGGACUCAGUAGAUUCAUCCUGCGCCGUUAAACAUUCUUUUAUGUUCUCUCAUCCUGAAAUCUGAUUUAAUGGACUAUAUCACACUAUUUCUGGAAUUUUGCAUUUAUUUUUGCUUUCAUACUGGAAUAUUUAUGUCUACAUCUUUAUUGGAGAAUUUUGGGAGAGUGAUGCAUUUGGAGCAGUGAUGAAUUGGGUAUCUAGUUUGUCACAUGUUGGAGUCAUGUAUGUAUUGUAUCGUACAGACAAACAUGGUUUAAUUUAUAGACACACACAGUAUAUAUAUGUAUGUAUUUGUAUUUGUCUAUGUACUUAUUAACAGACUAGCUUAAACCAUUAUAAUACAAUGAAAUGUUGGAUCAAAAGUGGAUCAAAGCCUUUAAUAUUUGAAGAAGACUGAAAGGUACUUAUGCGGUUUCCCAGAAGAGCAGAUGAAGGUUAAUUCCAGGAAAUUUUGUUGUGGUGAAGAGGUCACUGAGUAGAUACUGUUUUGCUGGUGUGGCCGAACUGACCAAUCAGAUUUCAGCAGUUACUAAGCAGGUGGAGGGAGUUUCCCAAGGUUAUUUAACCUAAAGAAUAACUAUGAUGCCACUCUGUCAGUUUGAUGAAGCACAUGGUCCAUAUUUACAGACAAGACAAGACUAGGACAGGAUGACGAACGAGAAAUUUUUUUCCAUUGAAAACUGUUUAAUGUUCUAUAGUGAGGAAAUGAUUAGGGAUUGUUUUGUUGCUAUGUUGGCUUUUUUUUUUUUUUUUAGAGGGUCAGGCUGUGUUUUAUAACCAGGAAUUCAGGAAUUCAUCCAGCAUAGUAUGGUUUGAGUUACUUAUUAUUUAUUCCCAGCCGGAUCCAAACACACGGUCCUGCCACUUCAUGGUUUUCCUGUUUGUGUGGACAGAACUCUCUGUGUUAUCAUUGGUGAGACCUACAAGGUUUUGGUGAAGAGGAAAUGCUUUGAUCUGGACAAAAACCUUCAAAUUAUUGUGGUUUGGCUGUUCCUUCUUGUGCGUCUAGUUGUUACAGGGGCAUGUUUGGGUCAGUUAGAAGUGGAACUGAUAAAUCACAGACUAUACUUCACAUUUCUAAUCACUGCUUUUAAUGUAUCUUGUCAGUUUGUCUUUGUCCUUUUAAAAUGGAAAUAAUUUAUUGAUUUAAAAAAAAACUUAAAAUCAGAUUUAAAAAAAUACAGAAUUUAAACUUUUUUUAGGGCAAAACAUGUUGCUGAUUAUGUCUUGCAUUAUUUUUUCUGCUUUUCUGUUUCAAGGUCUGACACUGCCACGUUUAUCUUCUUUUAGAGGCUGAAUGUGUGAUUAAUAAUUCUUAGAGUGGCUGUGAAUCAGUGUGUGUGUGUGUGAGUGUGUGCGUGUGUGUGUGUCCGUCCAUCCGUCCCUGCACAAUGCCCUUAGCCCUGAACAGUAAGAGUUUAUGUGCUGAGGUUCAAGUAUCAGCACAUGGUCUCUUACUUGUAGGGAAAAGAGUCUUUAUCAACUUCUCAUUGCUUUUUUUUUUCAAAGUAUUCACUUUGUUUUGCGAGAUCAACAUUUACUUUUAAUCAUUCAGCAACAAAUAAGUCACAAGUUUGGCAUACAUAAGGAAACAAUUUUCAGAAAGAUUCAAGAGUAAAUUUAAAAAUAUAUAUUUGAUAAAACAUAGAAGAAUAGAUAACUUUUUUAAUGCUCGACAUGGUUUAGACUAGAUUAAUUAUAAAAAAUUUUGUUUUAUUAAAUUUAAACCCAGGAAAAAAAUGUGUAAAAAAAAAAUUCAAAUGGAGACCGAUAAUGCUUGGAUCCAAAAAUCCUUAAAAAAUGUUAUAACCCUGGGGGGGGGAAUAGAAAGAGAAAAAGACUUAUGUCAUAUUUUUUAUUUAUUUAUUAUUUAUUUUUCAAAGCCACAUUUAAAAUAUUUAGGACCGUCACAAGUUUAUCAUGCAAAGGCAACAAGUUUCAGAAGCUAGAAAAAAAAAAAUAUAUAUAUAUAUAUAUAUAUAUAUAUAUAUAUAUAUAUUUUUUUUUUUUUUUUUUUUUUUUUUUUUUAAUCAAAAUUAUGUGUAGAAAGUGACUUUAUUUAUUAUUGUCUGCCAAAGUGUUUUGUCAUUUUUUAAACUUGGAUCCAUGAUCAAAAGCUGAUUUAAAUGUAAAUAACCCUGGGCAAAAAUAUUUAAUUAAUUUAAACAACUGCUAUAAAAUAUUAAGGAAAGUUUGUCAAACAAAAAAGUCAACAAUAUUCAGUAAUUCUUAAGUGUAUGUCUACUGAAGCUAGAAAACAAUAGAGAAAAUAUUUUAAACCAAAUGUAUGUGUAGGAAGUGGCUUUAUUUAUUGUUGUAUGCUAAAUAAUAAUAAAAAAUCAUCAUGGUUUAGAUUUGAUUUUUUUUUUUUUUUUUUUUUUUUUUUUUUACUUGAAUCCAUAAUCCAAAAAAUGCUUAAAAUGUAGAUCGCCCUGGCUAAAAAAAUUUUAACUAUGAAAAAUUUCAUAAUUUAAAAUGUUAAAACCAAAACAAUUGUUUUUGGAUAUUGAGAUUUUAUUUACUCAAAUUUUCAUAUAAAUUUUUUUUUACAAUGGUACCACAAAACCGUAGCCCACAGACUGUUUUCCACAACUACAAACUCUCUCCUCCAGAGGGCGAUGUCUGACUGCUAAACUUAAAUAUGAUUUUAUUUUUUAUUUUUUUGGGUCCAUAUCCUAUUGCACACCAUUGCUGCAGAUAAAAAUUAAUUGAAACAAUACAUCCCUUCUAAUAUGUAUUAAUUACUCACUGUAUUGAGUAUCUGUCCCAGAUGUCACUGCAUGUCACCAGUAAAAAGAAAAUGUACAGCUUUCAUCAGUUACACAAACAUAUUCUGUCACUCUAUCCUAAUUGAAACUGCUUCUCCCUGUUCCACAGGAAAUUGCCUGGAAAAAAAGGAGCAGUCAUUGGCACUCCACAUUAGAAUGAAUCACUUGGCCAUCAGGGAACAAACUGAAUCAUCAGGAAAACAUUAGAGAGAAAUGAUUGUAUAUUCUUCUACAGUUCAUUAUUUCAUUACAUUCUGUAUUGAUGUUUUUAAUGUAUGUUGUGCAAAGAAUAAAGUUUUCAGUCACAAAUCAAGAA